rnacentral:lncRNA from 1 species
CUGAUCACCUAUCUUAUGCAUGAAACCCCCUUCCUUCUUCGAGCCAUGGCAUGCAGUCUGCUGGCUGUGGUUACCAUGACUUCCAUGCAUAGCAGUGGAGCCAUGGCAUCCUGAUUGUUGAGGUUUGGCGCCAUGGCAUGCAGUCUGCUGGCAGUGGUUAGUAUGAUUUCCGUGCAUAGCAGUGGAGGCAUGGCCUGCUGAAUGCUGAGUUUUGGAGCCGUGGCAUGCAGUUUGCUGGCUAUGGUUAGCAUAACCACCAUGCAUAGCCGUGGAGCCAUGGCCUACUGAUUGUUGAGUUUUGGAGCCAUGGCAGGUGGAUUGCUGACCGUGAUUCUCGUGGUGGAACAUUUUGCCUGUCAUCUCUUUCAUUUUGUCAGCAAAAGAGUGGUGCUCAUUUGCUUUGUGGCAAGUCACAGUGGUGGUUUUUUGGCAGACAGUUUGUUGC